rnacentral:antisense_RNA from 1 species
AUGACACCCUAGAUUGUUCUGUUACACAAGGGGUACCAAAGUCCACCCUGAGCUUUUCCUCUGGGAACAGAUUCCAGAUUAUUCCAGACUUAAGACAUGGAGAUAUAUCUUGCUAGAGCCCCCAGUAUAUAUUCAGUGUGUCCUCUGAAGUAACAACCAUCCCAUCUGGCUGAGAAGUGAUGGACACGGCUCCUUAACCACACUGUACCCUCCGUUCUUGGCACCUCUCUACCAGAAAGAUAUCGACAAAUUGGAUGGAAUUCAGAGAACAGCAAGAAAAAUGAUUAAAGAGAUGGAGGCAGUGACUUACGAGGAAAGAUGAAAAGGACUAAAACUGUAUAGCUUGGCAAAGCAGCAACUGAGGUGGCAUAUGAAAACUGUCUACAAGCAUUUGAAGAAUAUAAACACCAAAGAAAGAGAAGGAACUUUUUAGAAUGGUCUGGGGAAUAAGCAGAGCAAGAGGACAGAAUUGAAGAAAGGAGAGAGAUAUGCUAAGUUGGGGGCAGGGGCGUUUUCUCAUCAAUUGUAAAUUUUGAUAAAUAACCAAAUUAAGUCUAGAGAGAAAGAGUUGCAUCUCAUGCUUUUAGGUUACAAUCAGUGUUGACCUGCACUGAGAAAAUGUGACUUCCUAUUAUCCUUCUCAAAGUUAUUGCUGCAGAGGAAAGAAGCAUACAUCUUUCACCCACCAGGAAACCCCCAAAGCACCUAUUACUGUAAUAGCCAUGGGAAACAGAAGGCACCUCAAAUAAAGGUAGGGGGAAAAAAUGAAAGAGAUGACUUUGGCCUGUGCCUGUUUGACCUCUGAGAGAUACUUUUUGCAAGAAAUUGUUAAGUUUUGGCCCAAGAAGUGGUCGGUCUUUUAUCCUUCUUUGUG